GCCAAUGUGGCAUAUUGGUUUGAGUGUAGGACUAAGACUCUGGAGACCAGGGUUCCAUUCCCAGCUGAGGCA